rnacentral:sRNA from 1 species
GCCGGGCGUGGUGGCGGGCGCCUGUAGUCCCAGCUACUACGGAGGCUGAGGCAGGAGAAUUGCUUGAACCUGGAAGGCAGAGGUUGCAGUGAGCCGAGAUCAUGCCACUGCACUCCAGCCUGGCGACUGAACAAGACUCCGUUUUAAAAACAAAACAAAACAAAAAACAAGUUUUUGUUUUGUUUUGUUUUGUUUUUUGAGACGGAGUCUCGCUCUGUCCCAGGCUGGAGUGCAGUGGCCGGAUCUCAGCUCACUGCAAGCUCCGCCUCCCGGGUUUACGCCAUUCUCCUGCCUCAG